AAGGGAGCAGGGUCCUGUGUGCACUCCCAGGUCACCCACCUGCCCCUGCCCCAAGCCCGAGGCCGGAACAGCCUUUCUUCUGCUACAGCUUCUGAUCUAAGAGUGUUAGCGCUAGCUCUGCCGCUUUCACAGGAAGGCACUGUCUAAAGUCGGGAAGCGAGGGCCCCCCAGAAACCAACCCCGCUGACAUCUGGAUCUUGGACUUCCAGCCUCCAGGCUCUGAGGAGACGAGUUUCUGUUGUUGAAGUUUCUGCCUUGUCUUUGGCAUUGAUAGGGCAGCCCUAGCUGCCUAAUACCCUCUGAGCAUAACAGGGAAGGCCGAAUGAAGAGAUGCUAACGCCACAAGAGAUGCUUUGCCACAUAAGAACUACUUCUAAGUAUGAAUUCACAAACUCA